GGUGAACGCUGGCGGUAGGCCUAACACAUGCAAGUCGAACGGCAGCACAGGAGAGCUUGCUCUCUGGGUGGCGAGUGGCGGACGGGUGAGGAAUACAUCGGAAUCUACUCUGUCGUGGGGGAUAACGUAGGGAAACUUACGCUAAUACCGCAUACGACCUACGGGUGAAAGCAGGGGACCUUCGGGCCUUGCGCGAUUGAAUGAGCCGAGGGCGGAUUAGCUAGUUGGCGGGGUAAAGGCCCACCAAGGCGACGAUCCGUAGCUGGUCUGAGAGGAUGAUCAGCCACACUGGAACUGAGACACGGUCCAGACUCCUACGGGAGGCAGCAGUGGGGAAUAUUGGACAAUGGGCGCAAGCCUGAUCCAGCCAUACCGCGUGGGUGAAGAAGGCCCUCGGGUUGUAAAGCCCUUUUGUUGGGAAAGGAAUCCAGCUGGCUAAUACCCGGUUGGGAUGACGGUACCCAAAGAAUAAGCACCGGCUAACUUCGUGCCAGCAGCCGCAGUAA
rnacentral:rRNA from 1 species